GAAGGGUAGUUCCACAGGAGAGAAACGCGUUUGCAACGAGCGUAUGAAAACAGAACUAGGAGUCACGCUUCUUCAUCCAAGUUAUAGAUCAGGAUUGCUGAGCAUUAUAGAUCAGAUGGAAAAUCCAUUUCAAUCCAGUCCGUUCCAAUCGUGAGCAGUUCUUUUGUCAAUAGAUUUUUUUCCCCCAAAACAAAUGUGAAUAAUUUAGAAUCCAGCAUAUCAUUCAAUCGUGGGGGAC
rnacentral:misc_RNA from 1 species